UGUCCAUUUUAUUGGCAUAUCAUUACCCAUAGUAGUCUCUUAUGAUCUCCCCCCCCGCAAAUUUUCCUUACUUAAAAUAAAAAAAAAAAGAAGUAUUUAUUUGGCUGCAUUUGGUCUUCAACUGUGGUGCAUGUGGCACGAGGGAUCUACCAGGGAUGGGACCUGAGUCCCUUGCAUUGCAAGGCAGAGUCAUAAUCACUGGACCACUAGGGAAGUCCCUCCUGUGAUGUCUUGUAUUUCUGUGGUGUCAGUUGUAACUUCUCCUUUUUCAUUUCCGAUUUUAUUGAUUUGGGCUCUCUCUUUUUUUUUCUCUGUGAGUUCGGUUAAAGGUUUAUGAAUUUUAUUCUUUUCAAAGAACCAGCUUUUAGUUUCAUUGAUCUUUUCUUUCUUUUAGUUUUUAUUUCAUUUAUUUCUGCUCUGAUCUGUAUAAUUUCUUUCCUUCUACCAUCUUAGGAUUUUCGUUGUUCUUUCUCUAGUUGCUUUGGGAAUAGGGCAGCCUUGUCUUAAAAAAAAAAAAAAAUCACUGGGCUCAAGAAAGAGACCUAUGAUUGCUACCAAACCUACCGGGGACCGUUUACUGAAGUCUCUUCCCAGGAUUUUGUGCUUUGGGAUCACUUCAUGAUUUUACGCCAUAAAUCAUAUAAUUCAUGUCUUUGGUCCUUGGUUGACAGCCGUUCUUCCCUCCCCUGCUGACUGUCACCUAACCACCCACUCUCCCCCAACAUAAUAUUGUUGCAUGAAUGUCCCUGUGGAUGAAUGGAUGGAGAAAAGGAGAAGAAUGGGAUGGAACGAAGGAACUUAGAAGCUGCCAAGAUGCCUGGAAACGCAGAAAUUCUCAUGAUUUGCAAAUUUAUUGACUGAGAAGGUACUGGGAUUGGGAGGCAGUUGUAUAGAAACCAGGGAGGGCAAACUGCAGAACAAGACGCAGCUCCAGAGCUCACUGGCUUCUUCUGGUGGAUUCAGAUGUGAAGGGCGGAGAAACCUCAGGGCAAUAUCAUGAGAGCGGUAAGCCCAUCCAGCCCACGGAGAACACCUCCUGCUUCUUCGUCUCCGUGGUGUCCAGGGGGGCCUUACUUGCCUGGCCAGGUAGGCGCCUGCUUCUGCUGGGUCUGGUGGCAGACUGGGACGCCCUUGCCACCCCCGGAACCACCCCCGGAAGAGCCGCCGCCGCCGCAGCCGGAACCGCUGCCGCCCCCACCGCUAGAGAAGCAGCCGCCGCCGCCCCCGGAGGAGCCUCCCACGCAGCCGGAUCCACUGCCGCCCCCACCGCUGGAAACGCAGCCGCUGACCCCGGAGGAGCCGCCGCCGGAGGAGUAGCAGACGGUACUGGAGGAGCCGCCGCCGGAGGAGUAGCCUCCGCAGCCGGAGCUGCCGCCGCCCCCGGAAUACUUGAUACUUCCACCAGAGCCACCGUCGCCGCCGCCAGAGUAGCCGCCGCCGCAGCCGGAGCUGCCGCCGCCUCCAGAAUACUUGACACUUCCACCCGAGCCGCCGCCGCCACCCCCGGAGCCGCCGCAGCUACCGGAGCCGCCGCCGCCGCCGCUGUAGAAGACGCCGCCGCAGCCGCCGCCGCCGCCGCCGCCGCCGGAGGUUUUCCCACAGCCCACUGGGGGCUGAGGGGUGGGCUGCUUUUUCUGGUGAGACAUCUUGUUUAAGGAGGAACGGAACCCUGGAAGGAGAGCAGAGAGCGUCAGUGGACCAGCUGCAAGAGGAUGCGGCGGCAGAGGCAGCUGCAUCCAUGGAAACGUCCAUCAUCCUCUGAGCAGCACUGCCUCGGCCAGGCUUGAUGCUCUUUCUGAUCGCAUUGGAAAGAGCACUCAGCUGGGACUCCUGGGUUAGUGCUUUUAGAAAAGGGUUGUGUUUCCCUUGCGAAAGUCUUUACCAAGUUUUAAAUAGCCCACUUAGUGGUACCCAUUUCUCUUUCUUUCCCAGCUUUGCUUCAGGCCUCUGCUGUGUGAUCUCUGGGCAAAUGACCCACACAUUUUCUGUUUCCUCAUUUCCUGUAAAAUGAGAUGGGUCGAGUAUUUCACUUCUUAGUUCUCCGAUCCCAACACUGAAUGCAAAUAGAAAAUUACCACAAACCGCCACCUAGGGUAGGGGAUUUUAUCCACUCCUGGCACAACAGAGGGUGGUUUGUUCCAGUGCCAGAGGGCUGUUGCAUCCCAUUCUUUGCAAAAAAGAAUUAGUUUAAACUCUUGGUCUGUUCCAGUGACCUCAGUCAUGAUCACCUACCAGUUACCAGAAAAGGUAGGCUCCCCCCAUUGUCCUGUCUGGAAACAGGAGAAAGGAUCCCAAUGAUCCUUUGGACUAGCAUCUCUGACUAGGAGAUAUCAAGCAAAGCUUGGUAAGGAGGCAAGCUGGGUUGAGGGGACCAGGAAUUAUGUCCAGCAUCUCACAAGUCAUUUCCUUCUCAGAACAUCUUGUGUAAAACAGGCAAUGGGUUCUUAUGACUGCUAAAAUCUCCCCUUCUGCAGCAUCCUCUGAAUCAUUCUUCCUAUUCUCUGAAAGUACACUCAACCUCUCCUCCUUACAAGUUCACAAAGUCCAUCCAGUCCAUCCACAGGCUGUCUGGGACAGUCUCUGCAGGAUGCACUUCUAUGGCAGAGACAGGGAAUGUCUCUUACAGGGGUGCCAGAGAGACAGGAGAUAGUCUUGUCUUUGUGGCAUUUACAUUUUGGCCAGAUCAGAAACACCGUCUGUCCAGCAGUAGCUCAGCUCCAUUUCCUGUCUGAAGUCCCUCUGAAUAUGGAUGCAGUUGGAAGAGCAGAGGUCCCGUAGGUCCCAAAGGGGAAAGAGGCCUUGCCCACCUGUCCCCUGGUCCACAUAGCCCACGCAAGCCUGGGCAAGACCAACUUGGAAGAGGAGAGCCAGUAGAACACACACUUACCCAAAGCACCAGGAAGGAUGAGUGAGGAGAGGAGAUGCUGGCUGUGUGAGGAGCACUGGAGCUUCUGAGGUUUUAUACUUUCUGAUGAGUUCUGACUCAUCAGCUAUCGAUCUGGACCAGCCUUUCAUGUUUGGACUCAGUUACGUGACCUUUGUCUGUCACCCCACCUCCCUGUGAUUGUAGUCAUGGGGUGACCCAUUCACGAAGAUUUUGGCAUUCUUGAGAUGGGCAGCCUCCUGUAUGACCGGCCCCUUCUCUGAUUCAACUGUGAAGCAGGCUGGCUAGCAGGGAUGGUCAGCCAGAGUGGAUGUUAGACAUUGUUUUCAAAACUUCUGGCAUGGGGCCCAUGCCAUCACCAGAGGGCUGUGCUUCAGGAAUAGGUCUCAGACUCUUCAAGCAACCUAAGAGAGUCCCACUGGAGUUCUCAGUCUUUGGUCCAAGAAGUAGAAACUUCCAUAUCCCACUCUUUGGCUCCUGGUCCUAUUGCUUGGAACCUCUUAGAAUUUGAGAGAGAUCCUGUUUCUUCUUUGCCAAGUUUCUCCCCCGGGGUUUCACAUGUGCUUCACUGGGAUAUUCCUGUCUUGUUUCCUGUCUAGAGAGUGUGUUAGCACCUAGCACCCAGUUCUGGGUUGCACAAUAUGGACAGCGCCAUAAGUAAUGGGGCACUGGUAGGAAUUUUGAUUUACUCCUAAAGACAAUGAAUGUCUAAAAAUACUGAUCUUCACUGUUGACUUUCCUUGUAGAAGAACAAGCUAAAGAGAUAGACCCUGUGGUUCUUCCCACCAUGGCCAUUCAGCUCUGGGGUCUUGUCUUGUGUGGUAACACUGACCUCAGUCUAAGAGGCAGCCGUGGAAUGGAAUGGACUUGAGAUUAGGUGCCUGGGUUUGGGUGCUGCCUCUGCUACUUGCCAGAUGUAUCACCUUGGGUAAAGUCAGAGUACCUUAUGCAGUGCCUACACACUGGCGGCGCUUAGUAAGCAUUUGUUGAUUAUUGAACAAACUUUCUGAUACUCAGUUACCUUGUCUAUCAAAUAAGAAUGGUACUAGCUGUUUUACUGACGCUGCGAGGGAGUCCACAGAUGGCUCGAGGCAAGCUCUUAUCUAAGAAAAUAACUUGGAAAUUCCUGGCUGACCCUGGACCAGUAGCAUCAACUCUGUGUAUGAGGAACAGCAUUUUGUCCUCUUCUUUCAUCAUUGGAACUCAACUGCUAUUGUUUCAGAUAUCACAUUUGAAGUUAGUUCCACCCAGAUGUGUGUUGACAUGAGAGCUCCAAUAAUAAAUUGACGGUUAAUUAUGGUGGAGUUUUAAUGAUCUGCAUGAUCUGAUUAGACUGCGGCCUUCAGAAACUUGUGGCACUAGUUUUAGUUUGGAGAGCAUGAACCCAGGUGAACCCAGGAGGAGUCCAGGUGCUCCCCUCCUGAGAGAAUAGCCAGGAGGGAGAAGUCUGGAUCUGUUGGAGAAAGCAUGUUUCAACUUGAAGCUGAGGCAUCAUGGAGGUUUUGGAGGGGAAAAAAGGCUCCAACUAGCUGUGGGUAUAAUAAAAGACGCAUAAUAAAGGACAGCUUUAUUUUUCUGGGUUUGCUGGAGAAGAGGAGAAGAUGUGGACCAUGGUUCCCAUACUGAUCUGUGGACCCAUGUUGGCUCAUUAUUGUGUGUACCCUAGUCCUUAGGAAAAUGUAAGUAAAAAGAUGUCAGCAGACUCUUUGUGAGAAGGAAAGUCUAAUUCAGAAAUCAUGAGCCUCCUACCUUUUUUGGGCGUAUAUAAAGACUUCAUUUCUUUUAAAAGAGAUGUUGACAAGAGGUCCAAGUUGUUUCUUUCAUGUCCUUAUUUGUCAAAAUGAGAGUUUGGCUAUCAUAUUAUUUGGUUAUCACAGUUUUUUUUGAGGGAGAUGUUACUUCUUUAUGAAAUUCUAAAGUUUGGGAAUCUCAAGUGCAGGUGACUCCAAAGAGCUAAUAAUCUUGAAAUUGCCUGUGUUAGUUUGGAGCAAUUAUGUUCUUAAGGGAAAGAUAUGAUAUUUUCUUUCUAUCAAGUUUAAUAUCCUAAUGCUUUAUUCAUUAAUCCAGCCAACUGUUUUGCCAAAAGCUUCAACUUUUGUUUCAGUUUUGAAAGAUUUGUUAACAAAAGAAACUACUUGUUAAACAAAAAUAAACAAUUUCAAUAUUUAAUAGAGAAUUAUCUAACUUACUUUCAAUAUGCAAUCAUUAAAAGAAAACACUAGAGGAAUGUAAUAGCACAUACAUCAGCUAACUGGGACCAAAUAGCACCCAGAUUCAAACAGUGCUGAAAAGUCCCACAUAACAGCAAUCUGGAGUCUCAGUUGGAAAAAGAUACUGGAUGAUGCAUCCACCCUAAAGGGUGAGACUUCAAAAUUGCAAUUUUUGGGGUCUCGCUUAUAAUUUCAGGCCACAAACUGAUACUGUCGUCAGUUUGUGAACAAAUUGAAGCUCUGGUUUCACAUUAAUCUUUUUUUUUUUUACAGUACUGUUUGUUUUAUCUUGUGAGUCAGAGGAUUUUGUUAAGCCCCGGGUGUGGUUGGCCAGACCUCCUCCAGGGGCUCAAGAAUUC
rnacentral:lncRNA from 1 species